UAGGGAAUCUUCGGCAAUGGACGAAAGUCUGACCGAGCAACGCCGCGUGAGUGAAGAAGGUUUUCGGAUCGUAAAACUCUGUUGUUAGAGAAGAACAAGGACGUUAGUAACUGAACGUCCCCUGACGGUAUCUAACCAGAAAGCCACGGCUAACUACGUGCCAGCAGCCGCGGUAAGACGUAGGUGGCAAGCGUUGUCCGGAUUUAUUGGGCGUAAAGCGAGCGCAGGCGGUUUCUUAAGUCUGAUGUGAAAGCCCCCGGCUAAACCGGGGAGGGUCAUUGGAAACUGGGAGACUUGAGUGCAGAAGAGGAGAGUGGAAUUCCAUGUGUAGCGGUGAAAUGCGUAGAUAUAUGGAGGAACACCAGUGGCGAAGGCGGCUCUCUGGUCUGUAACUGACGCUGAGGCUCGAAAGCGUGGGGAGCAAACAGG
rnacentral:rRNA from 1 species